AGCGAACGCUGGCGGCAGGCUUAACACAUGCAAGUCGAACGGGCAUCUUCGGAUGUCAGCGGCAGACGGGUGAGUAACACGUGGGAACGUACCCUUCGGUUCGGAACAACUCUGGGAAACCGGAGCUAAUACCGGAUACGCCCUUAUGGGGAAAGGUUUACUGCCGAAGGAUCGGCCCGCGUCUGAUUAGCUAGUUGGUGGGGUAACGGCCUACCAAGGCGACGAUCAGUAGCUGGUCUGAGAGGAUGAUCAGCCACACUGGGACUGAGACACGGCCCAGACUCCUACGGGAGGCAGCAGUGGGGAAUAUUGGACAAUGGGCGCAAGCCUGAUCCAGCCAUGCCGCGUGAGUGAUGAAGGCCUUAGGGUUGUAAAGCUCUUUUGUCCGGGACGAUAAUGACGGUACCGGAAGAAUAAGCCCCGGCUAACUUCGUG
rnacentral:rRNA from 1 species